GAUGAACGCUGGCGGCGUGCCUAAUACAUGCAAGUCGAGCGAACGGACGAGAAGCUUUCUUCUCUGAUGUUAGCGGCGGACGGGUGAGUAACACGUGGAUAACCUACCUAUAAGACUGGGAUAACUUCGGGAAACCGGAGCUACUACCGGAUAAUAUUUUGAACCGCAUGGUUCAAAAGUGAAAGACGGUCUUGCUGUCACUUAUAGAUGGAUCCGCGCUGCAUUCGCUAGUUGGUAAGGUAACGGCUUACCAAGGCAACGAUGCAUAGCCGACCUGAGAGGGUGGUCCGCCACACGGGAAGUGAGACACGGCCCAGACUCCGACGGGAGGCAGCAGUAGGGAAUCUUCCGCGAUGGGCGAGAGCCUGACAGUGCAACGCCGCGUGAGUGAUGAAGGUCUUCGGAUCGUAGAACUCUGUUAGUAGGGAAGAACAUAUGUGUAAGUACCUGUGCUCAUCUUGACGGUACCUAAUCAGAAAGCCACGGCUAACUCCGUG
rnacentral:rRNA from 1 species